rnacentral:miRNA from 1 species
CAUCACAUGAAUUGUCCUGUGGACGCGACCUCUCAUCAUGGGGACUGUCACCCUCUGACCCCUGACUAGUCCGGAGCCCUG